rnacentral:tRNA from 1 species
UGGAGAUGUUGUUUAGAGGCAGAGCACCUGCCUAGCAUGCAUGAGGCCCUGGGUUGGAUACCCAGCACUACAA